UAAAUUUUAUCUACAAGUACCCUUUCUUCCUCCUCCACUCCUCUAGCCCGAGCCACUCCACUCCACAAAGACAGAGAAGCUCAUCCUCUCCAUGGCGCCGAAGCAAGGCUAGGGGAGGUGCUGCUGAAAUUUUUUUUCCUCAUUUCCGUGGGGAUUUCACCCAUCCAAAGUGUUGUGAAGGUUAGCCACUUUAUGCUCCGUUCAUUUAUUGUUGUUAAGCUUUGUUUUAUACUUUAGAGAGGGAGAAAAAUUAGUUUGUUUGUUGUUAAGCAUGUAGAGGAUUUGUAUUUAUACAUGUUUUUGAGCUACAAUUUGAUGGAUAGUUUGAAUGUGAGGGAGAAUGGACAGUAAAUGUGAGGUAUAAUUGAGAUUAUUUCAAUUUUAUGUAUUAGGAAAAAUUAGAGUAAAUUGUUUUUAAUAUUUAUAAAUUAGACAUAUAAAUUGUAGGUGUAAUUUCAUACUUUAGUACUUUUCAGAUAGAGGUAUGGAAUUAGCCAUUUUUAGAAUAAGUACAUUAUGUGGGAAAUAUUGAAUUUUUUAAUAGUUUAGUUAUUUGUAAAUUAAAUAUGAGCUAAAUAAUUUGUGGUACAUAGAGAUGGCUUCUGAUGCUGGAGGUAGUGGUGAUGGUGGGGGAGAUCGUCGUUCCUCUCGCGGCAAAGGGAAAACCAUAGUUGGCCCUCACGAUAAGUCGAAGAAAAUGAGUGCGUGGGAGAAAGCAAAGCUUCGUUAUUUGCAAAGAUGUCAUGAAGAUGCUGCUGCGGCGGGUCAGGAACCUCCUUUUGGUGGUCGUUAUGCUCCACCGCCAGUCCCCGGUGUUCCACUUAUAAGUACUACCAUUGCAGGAGGUACAAAUAAACCAAAUGAUGAGGCUGCAUCAUCGAAACCUUCGUCUUUGCUUCCCAAGGAUGCUUGAAGUCCUUCUAGAUAGUACUUAGUGGAUGGUUUGUUCUAGUGUAUCAUGUUGUUGUUGCUCUCAAGUUUAAAUUUGUGUAUUUCUAUGUAAACUUUCAGCAAUAUUUGAGUUUGUCGUAGUGUAUUAUGUUGUUUGCUUCUGAAAUUUUAAUUUGUG
rnacentral:lncRNA from 1 species